GAUAUCUGAAUCCACAGAAGAACUUAUCCAUCAGACAGCUGAGAUUUGUGAAGAUAACGAAGCAGCAGUAGUUACGGACACCAAUACGUUACAAAGCUGUGCAGAUCCACAGGAACAACUGAAGCAUCAGUUAGCUGAGGUAUGUGAAGAGAAACAGGCAGUAGGAAAAGCAGACACCAAUUCUUUACAAAGGUCUGCAGACCAUGAGAAGCCUUACAGUGCACCUGCUCAGGAGGUAAAUUGUAAUUAAGUUUUUGUACCAUGCAUCGUUUGAUUAAAUGUUAACUUUUUCCUUUUUCUCCUGUAUUUCUUAAAAGAUUGCUUAUGUUGACUGGUCAAAUUCCAGAUCAUUGACAAAUCAGAAACAGAGGAUGUUUCCUGUGCGGAUUGCAUUGAAGAAGAAAAUAGCAUCAGCACCAAACAGGAGAAGUUAAAACAGGAAGAAAAUCCAGAAGUGAAGACAGAUGAAAAUUUUGACAAGAGAGAGGAAAACCAAAGCAUAAUGGUUAGAAACUGGAUGCAUUUAUCAUACAUCUUACUUAAAAAUGUGUGGACGUUACCUAUAUCAGAAAAAUUGUUUUUUUCUGUAGAUGUCAGAAGGAGCUGAAAUGGAUGAUUACAAGCAGCAUAUAAAGUACAACACAUGUGCAGUCAUGAAUACAGAAGAGCAUAAUGAAGAUUCACCUGCUGGAAAACAAACAUCCGAAAAGCUAGAAGAACUGGGAAAAAUUAAUAUCAAUGACAACAACAACGUUAAUCAUGGAAGUACUGAGAUAGACCUCCCAGAAGAGGCUAAGGAAUCAAAGGGCGAAUGUGUUAUUAUGGAAAUCAAGACUCCAAUUAAAGAGGUCAGAUUAAAUUGUGGAUCUAUCUUCCAUUUCAAUAUUUUACCUGCAUGAUUUGAUCUGUUUUACUCCCUCCUGUUUAGGAAGGAGGUUGCUGGCAGAAAAUGAUUGAACUCAAACUGCAUGAAAUAUUCAGCACAUAGGUUAACGAGAGAAAACAAAGUAUUGAUGUAAAUAAAAAACUUGAAUCAUAUCUAGUAAAUUGUUCGCUGGAUACAGACUAACUUAAAAUAUACAGACAUUAUAAGGACAGUCAAUAAAACUACUCUAGGAAAGAUCACUAAGAUGAAAUCCCCAUCUGCCACAGCUGGCUAAAGAAAAGUCUACUGAAGCCAACCGAUGUUCCAGGGUGUCAAAGAUGGAAAAGGCAAAACUAAAAAAAUAAAAAAGCUAAAAGAUACAAGCAAAUAUACAUUCUUCCAAUCUUUGCUUACUCCCCCCUGCCUCCUUCCCUGUUUACUUUACAAUGUACACAUUCAAUCAAGAUUCCUGACGGUAAAAUAUGAACUCAUAGGAGGAACAAGAAGAUUUAAGAGAGAGCACUGGCAAAGAUUCCUCAAGCAACAACACAACACAUGUGCAACAAGAGAAGGGAACAACAAUAAGUGAACCUGAAAGAGGAACUUUGAAACCUUUUGGAUCAGAACAAAAAACAGCUGCAGGUCUUGAAGAGAUGAUAACAAGCAAUAGAACAAAAGAAACAGAGAAAGAAGAAGUAAAGACUGAAAAUGUUCCAAGUGCCCAAGUAGGAUGUGAACAAGAGGGAAAAACAAGGGAUGAAUGGGAAGAAAUAACAGAACAUUUCACAUCAUUGGAAUCCGUUAAGGUUUCCGAAAAGGAGAUAGCAACGGAUAACAUGGCGAGCAAUGAAAUCAAUGUAACUAAGCAGAUACAAGAGCAAGCAGCAUAUCCUUUACUUGCAUUGGAGAGGGUGGAAACUGAUUCAACAGGCAGCACGGAUGUCUAUGGCAUGCCCAAAGACAGCAUUACCCCACUAGUGCAACUGGGUGCAAUGGCCAAAAGUAUCCAGCACAUGCAGGAAAAAUGCAAAACUUCAGAGACAGAAGAGGAUCAGGAAAAUUACAAAAACGAGAAACGAGUGGAAUGUGAUUUAAAAGAAGCCCCAGAGGAAUCCAGAUCAAGAGAGACACAAGCUAAGGCCGCACUUCCUGACCUUCUGCAUGAAUCAGUAAAAGCGACAUCAAAAAUGGAAGAAAGUUUUGCUGAAGAAAAAGCAGUAAUGAUCAAUAAAGAAGACCUGCAGGCACACAAAACUGAAGAAUCUGAAGAUGAAGAAGAAAUAACUGAUAAGGAAAAAGACAAUGACAAAGAUGAGGAAGGAAGUCAACAAACAAGAGAAGAGUCAUGUUCUGAAGGUCCAGUCAUUGUAGAAGUCUCGAGAGAUGCUGAUAUCAGAGUUCCUCACAAGAAACAUCAGAAUAUAUUGUCAGGAGUUGGAUCAAAAGUCAAGCACUCAAUUGCAAAGGUGAAGAAAGCCAUCACUGGUAAGUCCUCUCAGAGCAAGCCACCAUCACCCAAAUAAGACGGAAAAAGAUGAUCAUGACUUUACAUAAUACAAAGUCAUAAGUUCUCGAGAAUAGUAAGUGAAAAGAUUUUCAGCAAUUCAAGUUCUCAAUAAUGUACAAAAGUUUGUCCAUGUGAAAUCUUAUUGUAUUAUGAAUUCUUUAAUUAUCAAAUACAUAGUGGCAACUUCUCAAUGUCAACUCCAGUAAUAUAAAGAUCAGAGCACUCAACCAACCCAACUGCACCACACAGUAAGAACCCCUAUUGUAGUAUGAGUUUGCCCCCCAGCAAAAGAAAAUUUAUAACUUACUUUCCAUGACCCACAGUUAACAUUAAGAAGGAAGACUUGGAAUAGUUUUCCUAGCAAGACAACUAUCAAUACAGACAUUCUAAACUUCCUCAAAUAUACUGUAGUAAUCUUUUUCUAUAACCUCCUCAAAUCGACUAACUUAAAAGGCAAUAGUGUGUUUCCACUAUACGAUGACCUCUGCCUCAGUCCUAAAUUAGUUAGCGCCGGCUAGAUUUAUUCGUUGUAAUCACUCCGCUCUAUCCAGGUGCAUUUUCUUCGGAUUUAUUCGUUGUAAUCACUACGUGCAUUUUCUUCUAGAAACAAUAAAAAAAAAUUCCCAUUUGGAAAAAUAUACAGGUGGGCUCUAAACCAACAAACGCCAUUUGAAAACACAACGGAUUAAAGGUAUUUCAAAAAGAGCAAGGUUUUUACAUUACGCAGGUAUUAGUUUGUUAUAUGAGUAUCACAACUUCAACAGACAACUCCACCUAAAAGGACAGAAUACAGAACAUGAUCCCUAACAUAACAAUGACUCUCUUUUUUACACCAACAAUGACUUUUUAAUGCAGAUAAAAUAAAACAUGCCAAUUAGGAAAAUAUAAGAGUAAAAUUCAAUAGAAUUUCCAAAUUGGAACAUAUUUAGUGAUUAACAGCGUAAAACUGUAUCCUAUCAAGUUGAAUCAUAAACAAAAGCAACAAUCACUCAACGCAAGCUUAUUUUUUAUGGAAGACACUUUAAGAAACGUCUAAAUAUUCCAUAUGAACUCUCUCGAAAUUGCACUACAAACAAAUACCAAAAUCUUCGUCCACAUGCUACGGAAAAAAGACCUAGAGACUAUGUAAUUCAAAACCUAAAACAAAUGGGAGGAAACAAUACAAAUUUUUUCGUACCUCUGAAACCAAUUCUUUGAAAUCCUAGCCAUGGGAGGAUUGAAUAGCUGGCAGAUUCUCACCGCGCGGAGGGCACGACGCGGGGAAAAGGGUACGU
rnacentral:lncRNA from 1 species